GUUUAAGAAUUUACUCAUAUAGUAAAUUCAAAGGUGGAGCUCAUGUUGUAAAUCAUAUUAUACUUCAGGCUGCUUCACACAGUAUUUUAAUUUCCUCAAAACACAAUACAGUGCAUGUAAUACAACAGAAUUCUAAAAACAAUAAACAUUAUUUUCUAAAUUACUUUGAAUUUGUACUCGAGUAAAAGUAGAAGUAAUUAACAAUAAAACGACUUGAGUAAGAAUAAAAAGUACUGAAGGCAAACGUACUUAAGUAAAAAGUACAAAGUAUUCUUAAAAAAAUACUUGAAGUAAAAAGUAAAAGUACUAUUGUCUGUAGCGUGUAGGGGGGGGGGCUUCUUCAAUGGAUUGACAUACAAAAGACACGAAACAGCACACACAAUAUAUGCGUGCACCUAAUAUACAAUAUUUCACGGCAUGGUCUACUUUGCAGACCACGUUAAAGAUAUAAGAAAUCCAUUAAAUAAAUAAUGCUUAUAUAAGUAAGGCACAAACGAGAGAUCCCAGACGCAUGUAGAGGUCCUAUUACCUGUCCCAAAAUUAAUAUAAAUCACGAAUAAAUCACGUAAAAUUAAACAAAAGUUAGUAACGAAAUACUUCGCCACAAAAUAAAAAUAGCGAAGUAAAACAUUACUUCUUAAAACGACUUCGUUCCAAGUAAAAGUACUCCAGAAAAAGUUUACUUUGUUACAUGCUCACUUCUCAAAAAUAGUACUCAAGUACAGUAACGAAGUACAUUUACUUCGUUACUUGACACCACUGGUGAUCACAGUGGUAAUUUUGUAUAGGGGCUUCGGUGUGGUUAGCGCACUUGCCUUUCACCUCUAAGGCCGCAGGUUCGAAUCUCAGUGAGAACUUCUCAGACUUCUCAAUGUGACUCGAACCCAGUCCUCAUGUGAAAAGAGUAAAAGUCGACGCUCUGCCGGAAGUCGUGGGUUUUCUCCGGGUACUCCGUGUUUCCUGCCACAGGGAAAGUUGACAGGGUGGGUUAGGCACAUAGGUCUGGAGGCAGAUCAUUAAUGAGGUACGCGGACUAAUAGCGGCUGCUCAAGCGCCAUUUGUAAGCUCAAAGUCUACCUCGGUCUGCUUCACAUCAGUCCGGUUCUAUCUAUCUAUUCAUAAUGUAACCAGUCACUGAAAAGCCCUAUAGGGAGUGUGCUGUGAAAUAUCUGUAUCUGUAUAAGUAAAUUCUAAACUCUGAAGGAUUUGUAAGCAAUGCCGGUUUGAGGAAACAAACUCAGUGUCUUAAGUCACGCCGAUAACUUGAAUUUUGAAUUUGAAUUUAAUAAUUUGCCACAAAAAAUAUACAUAAUUACAUUAAUAUAGUUA